rnacentral:rRNA from 1 species
AGCGUAGACGGUGUGGCAAGUCUGAUGUGAAAGGCAUGGGCUCAACCUGUGGACUGCAUUGGAAACUGUCAUACUUGAGUGCCGGAGGGGUAAGCGGAAUUCCUAGUGUAGCGGUGAAAUGCGCAGAUAUCAGGAGGAACACCGGUGGCGAAGGCGGGUCUCUGGGUAGUAACUGACGCUGAGGAGCGAAAGCAUGGGUAGCGAACA